AGGGGCGGUUCAACCAACAAGAACUGCUAAUUCUUGUAUCUGAGUUUAAAAUCUCAGCCCCCUU
rnacentral:tRNA from 1 species